rnacentral:ncRNA from 1 species
CUUGGACCCGGAUGAAACUUCGGGUGGCUCUUCCGGCCGCUGAUCCGCCGGACAAC